CCCCCCCCCCACACACACACACACACGCACACACACACACAAACAAAGAGGCGUUAGGCUGAGACGCUGAAAGUCCGGAUUUAAAGUGCAGAAAAUGAAGCCAUUGAAUCUGCCUGUCCAUGACGUACAAAGACACACUAUGAGCCAGUAUGAUCCGACCAGACCUUACAUCAGCAUUGAGGAGUUGUCGGAGAAGAAAGAGGCUGAUUGAAGCGGGACAGAUGACAUGGAUCCAUCCUUCCACAGCCAGGAGUGCACCGACCUGUGUCCCACACUUCAUAUAAGACUGGAAGCUACACUGAUCUCACAGCUACACACCACAGACGUCUACACACUGGAGAAGAGUCCCACAAAGAAGUCAUGACCCAGAGGCUGCAGAGAAACAUUUCAAGCCUCAUCUGAGUUUUUGUACAAUAUUUUUGCUGUAUGUAAAUAAAGCUUUCACUCCACAUA